UGGGGAAUAUUGGACAAUGGGGGCAACCCUGAUCCAGCAAUGCCGCGUGAGUGAUGAAGGCCUUCGGGUUGUAAAGCUCUUUUGCCAGGGACGAUGAUGACGGUACCUGGAGAAUAAGCCCCGGCUAACUCCGUGCCAGCAGCCGCGGUAAUACGGAGGGGGCUAGCGUUGUUCGGAAUUACUGGGCGUAAAGCGCGCGUAGGCGACUUUGUAAGUCAGAGGUGAAAGCCUGGAGCUCAACUCCAGAACUGCCUUUGAAACUACAUCGCUAGAAUCAUGGAGAGGUUAGUGGAAUUCCGAGUGUAGAGGUGAAAUUCGUAGAUAUUCGGAAGAACACCAGUGGCGAAGGCGACUAACUGGACAUGUAUUGACGCUGAGGUGCGAAAGCGUGGGGAGCAAA
rnacentral:rRNA from 1 species